AGCUCCAAUAGCGUAUAUUAUUGAUGUUGCAGUUGAAACGUUCGUAGUCGAACUUUGUGUGCUUGGAUAUUACGGCAACAAUGUUGUUGUAGUAUUUUCAGUACAUAUAAUGUAAUGAGUUACACAUGUUUCAUGUGCUUUCUCUAUUACAUUUUACUUUGAGUGAAUCGGCGUGUUCCACGCAGGCAUGUGCCUUGAACGAUUUACCAUAGCAUAAAUAAAGUAUGGAAUUGUCUUCUUGUAUGUUCAAGGACAUUUCUGAUACAGAUAAGAACGGUUGAGGGCAUUCGUAUUCAACUGCCAGAGGUGAAAUUCUUUGAUUAGUUGAGGACGAACUACGGCGAAAGCAUCUGCCAAGGACGUUUCUG
rnacentral:rRNA from 1 species